CAGUCGCCACGGUAAUACGAAGGGUGCAAGCGUUACUCGGAAUUACUGGGCGUAAAGCGUGCGUAGGUGGUUGUUUAAGUCUGCUGUGAAAGCCCUGGGCUCAACCUGGGAAUUGCAGUGGAUACUGGGCGACUAGAGUAAGGUAGAGGAUAGUGGAAUUUCCGGUGUAGCAGUGAAAUGCGUAGAGAUCGGAAGGAACAUCUGUGGCGAAGGCGACUAUCUGGGCCAUUACUGACACUGAGGCACGAAAGCGUGGGGAGCAAACAGGAUUAGAUACCCGGGUAGUCCCUGUCUCUUAUAC
rnacentral:rRNA from 1 species